rnacentral:snRNA from 1 species
GCCGUCACACGGAAUCGAG